AACGUAUAUAUCAUUUCAGGUACAUAUUAAUAAUCAGUAGUACCUAAUAUUAAUAUCCAUAAUACUUAUAAACUAUACACCACUAAGCUUAAUCUAAAGUGUAGGUAGGGUACUAUCCCAAAAUAGUUAGUUGUCUUAGCUGAAAUUUAUUUAAAGGAUCUAUUCUAAUAUUUAUUCUAAUAUUUAUUAAAUAAAAUGUUCUCCAAAAGGAUAUAUGGAGAAGCGCCUGACUUCGUGUUGAAUAAAAGGAUACAGGCAAAGAAAAAAACAAGGUACACACAUUUGGACUUCUAACAAUACCAUUCAAAACUUUAAAUGCAAAGCAAACGUCAAAGAACUGCCUUCUGCUUGAUAAGGAGUUAAUCCUCAAUUUUGACACAGGUAUCAUGUCGUCGCCUAGACCCGAAGGUGCGAUAAGGAUAGAGCAAGCUGUGGGUACACCUCGCGACAUCUCGGGAUACACGUAGGACGUUAAUGAAUGUUCUGGAAGAAUGGUCUACUGAAUAUAUAAAGAGCCCUAGCCGCUAGGAGGGAGCGAGUUUUAAAUCGAAAUAAAUAGUAAAUACAGUGUAAAUAAAUGUUUUAAGUUA